CACAUUCGUGGCAGCAAUGUAAUUAUGGUUGGUCUGAAGAAAUCACCUUCACCUUCCAAUUUUUCCCUCCUUUCUUUUUUUUCUUUCUCAAAAACCAAUUUACCAAUCUGGGUCAUGCCAUUUUCCAUACCCAUCUUCUCAUUACAUCUUUUUCUUCUUCAAAGAUCAGAGGUCACACAUUAUGCGUGAGUGUGGUCCAAACCUCGGAACGCCAAACAUGCUUUGCUCACGUUUUAUGCGUUUACGUUUUCCUACAAAUACCAACCCAACAUUGGAUCAAGAUCCAUUUUCCAUAACACCUCCACCACCUCUUCCAUAAGAGACCAUUCCCGAGGAACUAUUCAUUCAUCUUUGGAAAUGAAUGUUUUGGUUUUCUCAGGUUUGGGAAAAGCAAUGGUGCCUGGUGCAAGGGUUCAAUCCUGGUGUAUAAGACAUGAGCAAUUCAUUGUCAUUUGAAGGUAUUGAAGUUAUGGAUUAAUAUUCCUAAUGUUUGGAAUUUGGGAAUGAAGCCAUCGGUCCUGUUAAUUAAAUUAAAAAUAUAUUAUUAUUAUUAUAUUGAACUUAUUUAUGUACUUUAUCAUUUGAUGUAGUCUGGAUCUAUCAUUUUUGGCACAUCAAAUUUGGCACCAUUGGUGUCAUCUCUUGAACUUGUUGAAUUUACAUGCUUUUAGUUUUCUAUGUUCUUUUUAAUUUCAGUACUUUCA